GUGCUUGCUUCAGUAGCACAUAUAUUAAAUUGGAACAAUACAGAGAAGAGUGGCAUGCCCCCUGCACGUGGAUGACACACAAAUUCACGAAGCCUUCCAUAUUAAA
ensembl:snRNA U6 U6 spliceosomal RNA